AACGAACGCUGGCGGCAUGCCUAACACAUGCAAGUCGAACGAGACCUUCGGGUUUAGUGGCGCACUCAUGCGUAACGCGUGGGAACCUGCCCUUAGGUUUGCCAUAUCUCCCCGGAUAACGUGCUGAUACCGGUUAUUAUCCUGGGUCCAUAGAUUUAUCGCCUUUGGAUGGGCCCGCGUUGGAUUACCUCGUUGUUAGGGUAAAAGCCUAUCAAGGCUACGAUCUAUAGCUGGUCUGAGAGGAUGCUCAGCCACACUGGGAAUGAGACACGGCCCAGACUACUACGGGAAGCAGCAGUGGGGAAUAGAGGACAAUGGGCGAAAGGCUGAACCAGCAAUGCCGGGUGAGUGAUGAAGGCCGUAGGGUAGUAAAGCUAUUUUACCCGGGAAGGUAAUGACAGUACCGGGAGAAUAAGCGCCGGCUAACUCCGUG
rnacentral:rRNA from 1 species